UGUGUUAAAGCUUUCACAUGUACCGAUUAUCAUUCCAGGCAUGUAAGAAGUCAUAGUUGGAAGAAACUCUAUGAAUGUAAUCAAUGUGGUAAAGCCUUUUCCUCUCACAGUAGUCUCAGAUAUCAUAAAAGAACCCAUACUGGAGAGAAACCUCAUGAAUGUAAUCAUUGUGGUAAAGCCUUUGCAAGACCUGCUCAUCUCCAAAGACAUAAAAGAACCCAUACUGGAGAGAAACCUUAUGAAUGUAAUCAAUGUGGUAAAGCCUUUGCAAGACCCGAAUAUCUCCAAUGUCAUAAAAGAACCCAUACUGGAGAGAAACCUUAUGAAUGUAAUCAAUGUGGGAAAGCCUUUGCAAGACCCAGUCAUCUCCAAUGUCAUGAAAGAACCCAUACUGGAGAGAAACCUCAUGAAUGUAAUCACUGUGGUAAAGCCUUUUCCUGUCACAAUAGUCUCAGAUAUCAUAAAAGAACCCAUACUGGAGAGAAACCUUAUGAAUGUAAUCAAUGUGGUAAAGCCUUUGCAACACCCACUCAUCUCCAAUGUCAUAAAAGAACCCAUACUGGAGAGAAACCUUAUGAAUGUAAUCAAUGUGGUAAAGCCUUUGCAAGACCCGCUCCUCUCCGAUGUCAUAAAAGAACCCAUACUGGAGAGAAACCUUAUGAAUGUAAUCAAUGUGGGAAAACCUUUGCAGCACCCAGUCAUCUCCAAUGUCAUAAAAGAACCCAUACUGGAGAGAAACCUUAUGAAUGUAAUCAAUGUGGUAAAGCCUUUUUCUGUCACAAUAGUCUCAGAUAUCAUAAAAGAACCCAUACUGGAGAAAAACCUUAUGAAUGUAAUCAAUGUGGUAAAGCCUUUGCAACGCCCAGUCAUCUCCAAUGUCAUAAAAGAACCCAUACUGGAGAGAAACCUUAUGAAUGUAAUCAAUGUGGUAAAGCCUUUUCCUGUCACAAUAGUCUCAGAUAUCAUAAAAGAACCCAUACUGGAGAAAAACCUUAUGAAUGUAAUCAAUGUGGUAAAGCCUUUGCAACGCCCAGUCAUCUCCAAUGUCAUAAAAGAACCCAUACUGGAGAGAAACCUUAUGAAUGUAAUCAAUGUAGUAAAGCCUUUGCAAGACCCGCUCAUCUCCAACAUCAUAAAAGAACCCAUACUGGAGAGAAACCUUAUGAAUGUAAUCAAUGUGGGAAAGGCUUUGCAAGGCUCAGUCAUCUCCAAUGUCAUAAAAGAACCCAUACCUGAGAGAAACCUUAUGAAUGUAAUCAUUGUGGUAAAGCCUUUGCAAGACCUGCUCAUCUCCAACAUCAUAAAAGAACCCAUACUGGAGAGAAACCUUAUGAAUAA